rnacentral:rRNA from 1 species
GAUUAACGCGAAGAACCUUACCUACCCUUGACAUGGUCGGAAUCCCGCUGAGAGGUGGGAGUGCUCGAAAGAGAACCGGCGCACAGGUGCUGCAUGGCUGUCGUCAGCUCCUGUCGUGAGAUGUUGGGUUAAGUCCCGCAACGAGCGCAACCCUUGUCCUUAGUUGCUACGCAAGAGCACUCUAAGGAGACUGCCGGUGACAAACCGGAGGAAGGUGGGGAUGACGUCAAGUCCUCAUGGCCCUUAUGGGUAGGGCUUCACACGUCAUACAAUGGUCGGAACAGAGGGUUGCCAACCCGCGAGGGGGAGCUAAUCCCAGAAAACCGAUCGUAGUCCGGAUUGCACUCUGCAACUCGAGUGCAUGAAGCUGGAAUCGCUAGUAAUCGCGGAUCAGCAUGCCGCGGUGAAUACGUUCCCGGGCCUUGUACACACCGAAUC